GGCCGAGACACUGGCUUCACUGGACCACCGGAAGGAGGCGGGAGAAAGGACAGAAAGAAAGACAAGUGUUCAUUUCAAUGAAGGUGUAGAGUGCAGUGUCCCUCACCAGGCAGGGGUUCCUCACUGAGGGCAGCAGUGUCCACAGUGGAGGGAGGCUGUGCUAUGUGCUCUGUGGGUGGGGUUUGGGGAGAACUCGUAUGCACGGGCAUGAGCUCUGAUUGGAGGCUCCCCUCCACUUGGUUUUGGGUGGGAGCAUUCUGGAGAAGCAAGUAAGAAGGCCAUCACCAAACGUAAACACAAGUCACAGCAUUAUCUUCGAGGUGCUACGGUGUAAUACAAGAUGCGAGGGCUGUAGGACUGCUGGACAUACACACACACACACACACACAAACACACACUGAAGGGGCCUGUGUGAGUAAAAUGCGCGCAGUAAAAUGAGAGCAGAAAGAGACGCCAUGCUCAACAAGCCUACCUGGAAGAGAAAAUUGCUCCAAGCAGCAUCCAUUUUGCGCCACAGCGGUGGAGAUUAUAAAGUCAGCUCCUGAUUGGGAUCGAGAAGGGCAGCCUUUGCAUGUUUCGAUCGGCUCACCGGUGAUCGAGGCGCACACAGCCGCCUGUUCUGCAGCAGGAAACGACGGGCUUCUGGAUUUUCUUGAAAAAACGUGAAUAAAGUCGUCUGCAAAAAUAUGUAUUUUUUUUUUCUCAUUGAGGUAGCCUAAUG